ACCAGACUCCUACGGGAGGCAGCAGUGGGGGAUAUUGCACAAUGGGGGGAACCCUGAUGCAGCGACGCCGCGUGGAGGAAGAGGGUCUUCGGAUUGUAAACUCCUGUCCUUGGGGACGAUAAUGACGGUACCCAAGGAGGAAGCACCGGCUAACUACGUGCCAGCAGCCGCGGUAAAACGUAGGGUGCAAGCGUUGUCCGGAAUUACUGGGUGUAAAGGGAGCGCAGGCGGAUUGACAAGUUGGGAGUGAAAACUACGGGCUCAACCCGUAACCUGCCUUCAAAACUGUCAGUCUUGAGUGGUGUAGAGGUAGGCGGAAUUCCCGGUGUAGCGGUGGAAUGCGUAGAUAUCGGGAGGAACACCAGUGGCGAAGGCGGUCUGCUGGACAGCAACUGACGCUGAGGCGCGAAAGCGUGGGGAGCAAACAGGAUUAGAUACCCCCGUAC
rnacentral:rRNA from 1 species